UGGGGAAUCUUGCACAAUGGGCGAAAGCCUGAUGCAGCGACGCCGCGUGCGGGAUGAAGGCCUUCGGGUUGUAAACCGCUUUCAGCAGGGACGAGGCCGCAAGGUGACGUUCCCUGCAGAAGAAGCCCUGGCUAACCACGUGCCAGCAGCCGCGGCAAUACGUUGUGGGCAAGCGUUAUCCGGAUUCAUUGGGCGUAAAGCGCGCGUAGGCGGUCUGUUAGUUCAGGAGUCAAAUCUGGGGGCUCAACCCCUAUCCGCUCCUGAUACCGGCAGGCUUGAGUCUGGUAUGGGAAGGUGGAAUUCCAAGUGUAGCGGUGAAAUGCGCAGAUAUUUGGAAGAACACCAGUGGCGAAGGCGGCCUUCUGGGCCAUGACUGACGCUGAGGCGCGAAAGCUAGGGGAGCGAACAGG
rnacentral:rRNA from 1 species